UAGCGGAAACACGGAACGGAUUCGGAAGCACUUUAGUAAAAAAACGGAAGGUUGUACUGAAAAAUGGAUCGGCAAAAAAAAGGAACGUUUAUCUGGAAAGGUAAAAAUACUGACGUGUGAAUGGAGCCUUACACUGAGUGCUGAGCCACGCAUUC